AGAGCGAACGCUGGCGGCAGGCCUAAUACAUGCAAGUCGAACGCACCUUCGGGUGAGUGGCGGACGGGUGAGUAACACGUGGGAACGUGCCUUUGGUUCGGAAUAAUCCGGGGAAACCUGGCCUAAUACCGGAUGUGCCCUUCGGGGGAAAGAUUUAUCGCCAUUAGAGCGGCCCGCGUCUGAUUAGCUAGUUGGUGAGGUAACGGCCCACCAAGGCGACGAUCAGUAGCUGGUCUGAGAGGAUGAUCAGCCACACUGGGACUGAGACACGGCCCAGACUCCUACGGGAGGCAGCAGUAGGGAAUCUUGCGCAAUGGGCGAAAGCCUGACGCAGCCAUGCCGCGUGAAUGAUGAAGGUCUUAGGAUUGUAAAAUUCUUUCAGCGGGGAAGAUAAUGACUGUACCCGCAGAAGAAGCUCCGGCUAACUUCGCGCCAGCAGCCGC
rnacentral:rRNA from 1 species